CCUACGGGGGGCUGCAGUGGGGAAUAUUGGACAAUGGGGGGAACCCUGAUCCAGCCAUGCCGCGUGUGUGAAGAAGGCCCUCGGGUUGUAAAGCACUUUCAGUGAGGAAGAACGCCUGGUGGUUAAUACCCAUCAGGAAAGACAUCACUCACAGAAGAAGCACCGGCUAACUCCGUGCCAGCAGCCGCGGUAAUACGGAGGGUGCGAGCGUUAAUCGGAAUUACUGGGCGUAAAGCGCGCGUAGGUGGCUUGAUAAGCCGGUUGUGAAAGCCCCGGGCUCAACCUGGGAACGGCAUCCGGAACUGUCAAGCUAGAGUGCAGGAGAGGAAGGUAGAAUUCCCGGUGUAGCGGUGAAAUGCGUAGAGAUCGGGAGGAAUACCAGUGGCGAAGGCGGCCUUCUGGACUGACUCUGACACUGAGGUGCGAAAGCGAGGGUAGCAAACAGGAUUAGAUACCCCAGUAGUC
rnacentral:rRNA from 1 species